GCAAUAGUGGCUUACGUGGGCGGUCGCAUCACCUCGAAAGGAGGUGAUGCUAUGGAGACGUUUCAGGCUCUUCAAUUAAUGUUCCUGUUCGGAAUGUUUAUUCUAGCGCUUCUAACGUUUAUCCAGAAAAUGAAAUAGAUCGCCCACCCCACAAAGGUUAAAAUGCGAUCUAUUUCGUAUAACUUUGUAAAAGCCGACCGCCUAUAGUGCGGCUAUUGCCGACCGUAGACGUUCACAGCGUCUGCG
rnacentral:sRNA from 1 species